rnacentral:lncRNA from 1 species
CCGGAACUGUUCUGCGCAUGUGUCCUAGGAUUAACAAAUCACUCCUACUUCCCCAGCCAGUUUGCUACUGCGCACUCUCAGUUAUGUUUGUUUGGUUUUUUUUGGUGCCGGGGAUCGAACUAGGGUGCUUGAACUACUGCAUACUCUCAAUCAGCCUGAGGUCCAGCUUGGCUGUUCUAGGACAUCAUAUGAAUACAAUCAUACAAUGUGGACUCUGGGCAAGGCUUCCACCACUCCUCCUGAUGUUUCUGAGAUUCAUCCAGGUUCCUGCAUAUCUUUGUGUCUUCACCGCCUACAAAGCUCUGGUUCUCAAUCAAGUGCUCUCAGCGAAAGAAAUUCAUAAUUGGAAUCCAGGAAGGCAUGACUGAUGGCCAACCCAUGCUUGUGAGCCUUGAUAGCAUAGUAAAAAUCACACCCUGAGGUAGAGACUUAAGAUGGCAAUGGAACAUGCAUGGGAUAAAGAAACAUGACAACGAAGACUGCAACUAGAACUCCACUUCUCCCUACCCUGACAUGGAGAGACCAGGCCUUGUCUACCUCACAGAUGCCAUAGAAGGUUUUGUCCUUCGUUUGGGUCAGCCUGGGGUUCCUCUCCCUCACAGUUUUCCCCUUGUGCUCUAGCCUAAGAAUAAAAGCCUUAUGUCCAUGCCCAAAUGUUCUUGUCUGAUCCUUUUGAUGGAGGCCACAAACCCCGCGGAGGCGCUAACAUAUUCACAGCAAUUAAAUUCCUAAUGAAAAUCCUUAUUACUGAAAUCAGUAGCAGAUGAAUGCUGAGAACUCU